rnacentral:lncRNA from 1 species
AGAAAGCUUGCAAAUUGCAAAAUAGCAUGCUGACAGACGCAACAUCAAUGGAUGAGAUUAAUUUUCUUAGAACAAAUGCGAAAAAGUUUCAAAAAAGUAUGUAUUGGAAUUUAAAAAAGUGUCUGAAAUAUUUUGCCUAUCAACUAGGGUUUAUAAUUAAAAGUCACAUAUACGAUCAUGAAGUCGAUUUUCUUAAAAGGAUAAAGCUUAAAUAAAGUCCAUUUUUUCAAAAAGAAAAUUCGUCCAUUAUUUUCAUUGCCAUAUCGUUUAUGGUAACUAUUGAGCCUAUUUAUAUGUAACACCAUUCCACGUAUUUAUUCAUUUGUGUCAAAUUAUGUAAUCUAAGGACGUUUAUAAAAUUAUCAUUCAAGAAUGAAAUAAAAUGCUAUCCUGAUUUUAUUUCACAAAUCAGAACAUAACUAAAUAUGUAUGACAUUUUUACAUUGCACAAGGUCAAUAUUUCCAGGAUUGUUUUUGACGUUUUAAGACUAUAAAAAAUGGCUGUGUACAUAUAUGCAUAAUUUGUAACGAUCUGAAUAGUCAAUGUCUUCCAACUAAUUUUAAUAGUUGGAUAUUACGUUUUGUCCAAAUAAGGAGGAUGAUCGAUCGCUUGUAUACAUCUCGACCCCCGCCAUAUUAAGUAAGUGUUUCUCUCAAGUUAGUAGCAUUUGAUGCUGUGGUUGAUGUUAUUUAUUGUUUUUCGUAAUUUUUUUUUCUCGUUUGAAUUGUUUCCUUUGUUUUCAAACUGGAAAAUUUCUCAUUGAUGGAGGCCGUACAGUUCCUUACACUCGUUUACAUAUUCCGUUAUUGCUGUCUAAUAGGUUGCCACGCAUUCAACAUCCCAUUUGUUUUUAUUCCAGACAGAAAAUGAACAUUUCCCUUUUUUUCGCCCUAUGUUCUAAAAUCUUCUUCUUCUUCUUUCUUCUACUUUUUCUUUUCUUCCUUUUCUUCUUUUUUUCUUCUUCUUCUUUUUUCAUCUCGCUUUAUCGCUAUCGAUAGUUUGGUGCCACAGCUGGUGUAUUUUUUUUGUGUACAGUACACAUAGUACCCAGUGUUUCGGAUUGUUACGAUUCUAAUGAGACAUUUUCAUACUGAAUUGUAAGUUCAAGAAUACGUUUUCUGCAUUUCAACAAAAUGAAUGUUGAAAUUUCUGAAGAAUAAUUUUUGUUAUUUAAGGCAAUCCUGGUAAUUAUCAAAACAAAUUAUAUAAAAAGGAAGGUUGUAAAUAUAAAAAAAAACUCCUUUCUAGAGUUUUCAAAUAUGGAUCAGAUAGGGCCGUAGAGGGUGUGUGGGUAUGGACAACUAGUGGACAGAAGUUCUCAGUUUCUAAUUGGUUUACACGAACUUCAAAUGAACCGAAUAAUAUGAACGGAAAUGAGAAUUGUCUGCAAAUAUAUAACAAACAUGAUUAUGAAUGGAAUGAUGACAACUGUUUAACAAGACAUAAAUUUAUAUGUAGAAAAACGUAAGUAUUUCUUAUAUUCUAAUUUUGUAUCAUAAUGGGAAACUUUCUAUCGUCAUUUGUUUGUAAUGACUAAGAUGAGCAAAAUAAGUAGAAGCUUGACAUUUUAUCUUUUUAUACAAUUUAAAACACGAAUGCUGAAAAUAAGUAUUUGGAGUGAUGACACACAUUAUUUUAUUUUUAUCCAAACUAAAGCUAGGCCCACCUAUUGUAUGUGCUGUUUUUAUACAAGG